UACGUAGGGUGCAAGCGUUAUCCGGAAUUAUUGGGCGUAAAGAGCUCGUAGGCGGUUUGUCGCGUCUGCUGUGAAAACUGGAGGCUCAACCUCCAGCCUGCAGUGGGUACGGGCAAACUAGAGUGCGGUAGGGGAGAUUGGAAUUCCUGGUGUAGCGGUGGAAUGCGCAGAUAUCAGGAGGAACACCGGUGGCGAAGGCGGGGUCUCUGGGCAGUAACUGACGCUGAGGAGCGAAAGCGUGGGGAGCGAACAGG
rnacentral:rRNA from 1 species